rnacentral:lncRNA from 1 species
AGCGUCCAGCCAGGCUGUCCCUGUUUGCCCACCAUGUAAGCAAGAUGGAAACUAUGGAGGUGCUGGAUGGUCUGGAGUUCAUGUGCUAGUGGCUAGAAGCCAUCCCUGCUCCAUCCCUGCCAGCUAGCUGCUGUGACUCACCACAGCCCUGCCACCUGCCAGGCCUUUCCCAGGCUGCUCUGGUCUGGAAGCCUGGCAGCCGUGCAGUGCCCUGCAGAGCGGAAGAAGUGGCAGAAGCAGCAUUCAGGAGUUGUCUUUUAAUGGGGCUGUAGACAUCAGUGGCUGAUUCUUACAAAAGCAGUCAAGGGAACCAUCACCUCUCUCUCUCCUGUUCAGCUUCAGUGAUAGGCCCCGGGAAGGGUGCUUUCAGAAGCAAAGCAUUAGGAUCCCUUAAGGCCUGCCUCUCCUGAAGCCAAGUGACAUAAUGUGGACAAGCCUCCUGGGGUCUUGUGGACUUCCUGGGGGUAUUUCUGUGAAGGAACCUCCAAGGGUUCCAUGGAAACCACCUGAAAGAACAAAGCGGUAUAAAGAUGCAUGCCCCGCCCCUUUCCUGAGCCUUUCCCCGCCCUUUCCCUUUUGUGUGGAUAAGGGUGCCCCCUAGUGGCUUCCCUCGCCUCUACAUGGGCCUCCCAAAGUCCCUGCAGUUGGAGGGGUUUUGCAUGCUUAUACUUAUUUCUCUGUUCCUGGCUUGGGCUCUUCCCUCUUUCUAGCCCUUCCCGCCCCCCAGCUGAUGCCUUCAAAAUAGCUCAUAGUAUAUGUGUCUUUCCUGCCUUGACUUCAGAAUUCAGGGGUGGGUUCCUGCAGACCGGGAGAAAUGCUGUUAGAGGGAUGGACUUAGAAUAUGUAUUAGUUAUUAAUACUAUCCUUUUUUUUUUUUUUUGCCACGAGAUAUUAACCAGGCAGGAAGCCGCUUGAGGAAAGAGGAUUUAUUUUGUCUCACUGUUUCUUUGGAAAGGAAUGGCGGUGAGAUUAGCUUCUGUCUCUAGCUGCAGGAGCUUGGAGCACAACUCACUCACAACAUGGCGGGUAAGGAGGCAGAGAAAAUGAUUAUAACUGCGUUGGGCCUCCUAAAUCCUCUUUCUUUAGUGAAAUCUGUCCUUCCAAAGGUUCCACAGGCUCCCUCACAAAGCACUGCCAGCCGGGGACCAAUUUAAACAGAUGAGCCUUGGGGUAAGGCGGAGAAGGCGGCCAGGGGUGGGGAACAGGUAGAAAUGAUGAAGGCUGUGAAAAGCUACUGUGGAAUUCUGCCCUCCCUGGCAUGGCCAUCACCAUCUCAAAACCAGAGCAGCUCUGAUUACCCACACACCUCCCACUGAGGCAAGAUGGAUAAGCAAGAUGGAAACUAUGGGGACAGAGGAAGGGACAAGAGCCCCCUUAUGCCAGCCUCUCACCAGCUGAGGAGCCAGAAUUCCAGCACACAAACUCUUGUUACAAAGGCUGCCACUGGGAAAUAAUAUUCCUUUUGUGUGUAGAUAAAAGUAACAAUGAACCAGGCU